AUGGAGUCACGAACCCAGGUCCUCAUGUCCCUCCUGCUCUGGGUGUCUGGUGAGAAAUUUAAAAGUACCUGUGCAGAUAUCAUGAUGACCCAGUCUCCAUCCUCCCUGGCUGUGACAGCAGGAGAGAAGGUCACCAUCAGCUGCAAGUCCAGUCAGAGUCUUUAUUCAAGUACCACCAAGAAGAACUACUUGGCCUGGUACCAGCAGAAACCGGGGCAGUCUCCUAAUCUUCUUAUAUACUGGGCAUCCACUCAGGAAACUGGGGUCCCUGAUCGCUUCACAGGCAGUGGGUCUGGGACAGAUUUCACUCUCACCAUCAGCAGUGUCCAGGCUGAAGACCUGGCAGAUUAUUACUGUAUGCAGGCUCAUACUGCUCCUCCCACAGUGCUUCAGCCUCCAACAAAAACCUCCUCUGGGAGUCUCACCACCUGCCUACAGAACACACAGCCCUGGACUUGCACACUUCCCCCUUUUGGCUGA